GAAUUGGCAGGUAGUACCUGUAAGUUUAAAAAAGAAAGAAAUCUUAAAUUGUUUAUUUAUUCUUUUUGUUUUGAUUUUGUUGCUCAUGUUAUCAUAUGUUGCUUAGGGUCCUUUGGAAUUGUGUUAUGAGUACCAUAACAAACCAACCAGACAAGCAUUAUUAGCUGUUCAGUGAGGAUACCAAAGUCCUAACACAGAACGUUACAAAAGAUGAUCAUACGUCCCUGCCACACUGCAACCAUCAUAAAUAUGAACCACUUGUCAAGCAUCCAAAUUUUGAUCAUAUGACCAUGGCAGCAGUCGUAAGUGUGAAAAACGACAGUGUGUCAAACUGGUGGCCCGCAGGCCGGAUGCGUCAUGCGCAGCCCACACCUACCCCAGUUCCGCAAAGGGGAAAAUGUCGCAAUAUGUCACAUGACAACAAUGUUACACGAUUUCUACAAAUAACAACCUUAAAUGGGAAAUCGUGUGUUUUGAUCAUCGCUGUGCAUCUGAAAUAACAGAAAUGAUGACCCACUGACAAUAGGCAGUUUAUUUUCAGAGAAAAUAAGAGGAUGUUGACUUUCAAUCUUGGCUUCAGAAUUAAACUCCAAUCAAAUACAUUCAGAAAGAGCAAGGAUGACAGUUGGAGGUGGUCUUAUAUACAGGAUGGGCGGGGCUAACAGAUAAAGCUGUAGAAAGAACCCUUCAUUUUUCAAGAUCUCAACCCUACCCUUGGGCCUGGCAUAUUUAUCGAUUACAAGCUGUACUUUUUAUUUGCAGUCUGAGGAAUGGUAAGUCUUAAUUUUGGAAUCUAGUUGUGUUGCUUGCCAGUGUCAUGCUGUCCUCAGUUCCCGAAAGCCUGUCAUAUUCCAUACUUGUGCUGAUUCUGGAUCGCUGCAAUUCCUUCCAAUGUCCUUCACCCAGAACACACAGUCCUCAAGUUGAACUGUAGUCAGGUGAAAAUCCUACCAUCAAAUUUAGCACCGAAGUCAAAUUUCAAAAUAUUUCUGCACCUAAAGUAAGUGAUCCAAAUUACAUCCAAACUCUGCUCUGAACUGAAAGUAAACAGAGUGACAGAAAUGGAGCUGGGAGGAAGAAAUAUACUACUGCCCUGGCAUUUUCUACUUGAAAGAACACUUUGUGAAAAUCUAGCCUGAUGGAAAACCAAGGCAGAAUUUUGCAAAUGAUAAUGCAAAAUUUGUUUGCCUUGGUUAUUUUUGUUCUGCGAGUCAGAAGUAAGCAGCAAUAAAAGCAUUCAAACUACCAUUUUGUUGUAUACAUGAUAUACAGUGACAAUAAAGGCUAUACUACAAACAGCUCACCA